UCCAGACUCCUACGGGAGGCAGCAGUGAGGAAUAUUGGUCAAUGGGCUUACGCCUGAACCAGCCAAGUCGCGUGAGGGAAGACUGCCCUAUGGGUUGUAAACCUCUUUUGUCAGGGAGCAAAGGGCGCCACGUGUGGCGUUUUGCGAGUACCUGAAGAAAAAGCAUCGGCUAACUCCGUGCCAGCAGCCGCGGUAAUACGGAGGAUGCGAGCGUUAUCCGGAUUUAUUGGGUUUAAAGGGUGCGCAGGCGGAAUGUCAAGUCAGCGGUAAAAUUUCGGGGCUCAACCCCGUCGUGCCGUUGAAACUGGCGUUCUUGAGUGAGCGAGAAGUAUGCGGAAUGCGUGGUGUAGCGGUGAAAUGCAUAGAUAUCACGCAGAACUCCGAUUGCGAGGGCAGCAUACCGGCGCUCAACUGACGCUCAGGCACGAAAGCGUGGGUAUCGAACAGGAUUAGAUACCCUCGUAC
rnacentral:rRNA from 1 species